rnacentral:rRNA from 1 species
ACGUAGGGGGCAAGCGUUGCUCGGAAUUACUGGGCGUAAAGGGUGUGUAGGUGGCUGAUUAAGUUAAGGAUGAAAUCCCGAGGCUCAACUUCGGAACUGUCCUUGAUACUGGUCAGCUUGAGGCUAGUAAAGGAGAGCGGAAUUCCCGGUGAAGCGGUGUAAUGCGUAGAUAUCGGGAGGAACACCGGAGGCGUAGUCGAUUCUCUUGGCUCAUCCUGACUUUGAGACACGUGAUCGAGGGGAGCAAACGG